rnacentral:misc_RNA from 1 species
AACGAUUUUCCACCUACAGAAAUACCUAAAACAUCAAUGAAGUAAAACGAUGUUCCUUGUGAUGAAGCGAAUGGUGUGAACUGGAGGUUCGAUUUUGCUCCAUUUUUGCCGAAACUUAAAUGACCAUUAGAUCCUCUUCUGGUAGGAAGACAGUAAGAGAAGUAUUUCCCGAAUUUCGCAGAUGUUUGUGACACAAUAGAAAGAGGAUCACGGCCUAAACCGAUUAAUCCGGCGGUUUUCCCGAAUAAUCCUUUGUUAUCUUGCCCACAACCGAACAUAAAUCCAUCAAACACAUCUGUUGCUGAUAAAGUUAGCCUAUCCUUCGCGAAAAACCCAAUAGAGAACGAUGAAUCACCAUACUGGAUACCGUAAACGCAGGUAGAUGAAGAACAAACAGGACUAUUACCGGUAGCUGAUUUAAGCCCAGAACAAGCUGUGGAACUGCAGGAAAUGUUGG